rnacentral:rRNA from 1 species
CAAUAGCAUAUAUUAACGUUGUUGCAGUUGAAAAGCUCGUAGUUGAACUUUUGGUAGGAGCGACCUGGCCUUGGGCGCAUGCCCUUGUUUGCCGUGUGUCGUAUCUGGCCAUCCUUUUCCGCUUCGGCGGGAAUCCUUUACUGUGAGUAAACUGGAGUGCUCAAAACAAGACGUUUGUUUGGUACAUUAAAGCAUGGAAUAAUAAGAUAGGACCUGGUUACUAUUUUGUUGGUUUGCAUAGCUAGGUAAUGAUUAACAGGGACAGUUGGGGGUAUUCGUAUUUAAUUGUCAGAGGUGAAAUUCUUGGAUUUAUGAAAGACGAACGACUGCGAAAGCAUUUACCAAGGAUGUUUUCAUUA